rnacentral:rRNA from 1 species
GACGAACCGUGCAAACGUUGUUCGGAAUCACUGGGCUUAAAGGGCGCGUAGGCGGCUUGCCAAGUCAGUGGUGAAAUCCUGCAGCUUAACUGUAGAAGUGCCUUUGAUACUGGCGAGCUAGAGCGAGGUAGGGGUCUGUGGAACUUCUGGUGGAGCGGUGAAAUGCGUUGAUAUCAGAAGGAACGCCGGUGGCGAAAGCGACGGACUGGACCUUUUCUGACGCUGAGGCGCGAAAGCCAGGGGAGCAAACGGG